UACGGAGGGUGCGAGCGUUAUUCGGAAUUACUGGGCGUAAAGCGCGUGUAGGCGGCAGGGCAAGUCUGGUGUGAAAGCCCGGGGCUCAACCCCGGAAGUGCAUUGGAAACUGCUCUGCUUGAGUACCGGAGAGGAAGGGGGAAUUCCCGGUGUAGCGGUGAAAUGCGUAGAUAUCGGGAGGAAUACCAGUGGCGAAAGCGGCUCUCUGGACUGUCACUGACACUGAGGCUCGAAAGCGUGGGUAGCAAACAGG
rnacentral:rRNA from 1 species